rnacentral:rRNA from 1 species
AACGAACGCUGGCGGCAGGCUUAACACAUGCAAGUCGAGCGCCCCGCAAGGGGAGCGGCAGACGGGUGAGUAACACGUGGGAACGUACCUUUUGCUACGGAAUAGCUCCGGGAAACUGGAAUUAAUACCGUAUGUGCCCUUCGGGGGAAAGAUUUAUCGGCAAAAGAUCGGCCCGCGUCUGAUUAGCUAGUUGGUGGGGUAAUGGCCUACCAAGGCGACGAUCAGUAGCUGGUCUGAGAGGAUGAUCAGCCACACUGGGACUGAGACACGGCCCAGACUCCUACGGGAGGCAGCAAUGGGGAAUAUUGGACAAUGGGCGCAAGCCUGAUCCAGCCAUGCCGCGUGAGUGAUGAAGGCCUUAGGGUUGUAAAGCUCUUUCGCUAGGGAAGAUAAUGACGGUACCUAGAGAAGAAGCCCCGGCUAACUUCGUGCCAGCAGCCGCCGUAACAC